rnacentral:misc_RNA from 1 species
AAGUCGUAACAAGGUUUCCGUAGGUGAACCUGCGGAAGGAUCAUUAUCAUCCGAAAUUUUUUUUUGUUUAAUGUUCAUUCAUUAUUCAAAAAAAUAUCAACCAACCGUGAACUGUAUUGCCUCCAAUAAAAAAAACGUGAGCGAUAUUGAUGUGAUUGUCUUUCUUUCGGGAGAGCGGGCGUUAGCGUUUUUGUUUUUUGCUAAUGUCUUUAAUCAUUUCAACAUCCAUGUAAUUUAUUUUACACACAAAGUAUUUUAUUGGUUGUAUUUUAUUUUCUAAAAACAAUUUAAUUUUAACCAUUCGAACAAAAAAAAAUUCAAUUUCAACUAUGAACUGAAUUAAUUUUUUCUUUCCUUUCUAAACAAGAGGAAACAAAAAAUAAAAAUACGAAAAAUUAAGAACAACUCUUAGCAACGGAUAUCUUGGUUCUC